rnacentral:rRNA from 1 species
AUGCUCAACAGCUAGCCCGCCCCCCCCCAAAGAUCAAAUAUAAAUACAAGCAAAUAACUUGAAUGCCAAAACCAAACCAUUUUUCCCCUCUAGUAUGGGCGACAGAAAAAGGAACAGGCGCAACAGAAAUAGUACCGCAAGGGAAAACUGAAAGAGAUGUGAAAUAGAGCACUCAAGCAAAGAACAGCAGAGACCUGCCCUCGUACCUUUUGCAUCAUGAUCGAGCUAGUCAACCUCAGGCACAGUGUCCUUUAGUCUGAGCCCCCGAAACCGAGCGAGCUACUUCGAGAUAGCCCAUAAUGGGGCAAACCCGUCUCUGUGGCAAAAGAGUGGGAAAAGCUUUAAGUAGAGGUGAUAAACCUACCGAGCUCGGUGAUAGCUGGUUAUCUAGGAAAUGGAUAUAAGUUCAGCCCCUGAGCCUUUCUUUGCCGAAGAGGGCCUACUUCACACUGGCAUAGGACAAGCUAAGGGAGUUAGUCAAGAGAGGUACAGCUCUCUUGAAAAGGAAACAACCUUCCCAGGCGGGUAAAAAAUCAUA